rnacentral:SRP_RNA from 1 species
AAGCCGGCCGCGGACGCGCCGCUCGCCAACCGGGUCAGGUCCGGAAGGAAGCAGCCCUAACGAGUUUCGGCGCGGGUCGUGCGCCGGUUUCCC